rnacentral:rRNA from 1 species
AGUGAACGCUGGCGGUAGGCCUAACACAUGCAAGUCGAACGGCAGCACAGUAAGAGCUUGCUCUUACGGGUGGCGAGUGGCGGACGGGUGAGGAAUACAUCGGAAUCUACUUUUUCGUGGGGGAUAACGUAGGGAAACUUACGCUAAUACCGCAUACGACCUACGGGUGAAAGCAGGGGAUCUUCGGACCUUGCGCGAUUGAAUGAGCCGAUGUCGGAUUAGCUAGUUGGCGGGGUAAAGGCCCACCAAGGCGACGAUCCGUAGCUGGUCUGAGAGGAUGAGCAGACACGCGCGAACUGAGAGACGGUCCAGGAUCGCACGGGAGGCAGCAACGGGGUAGAAGAGGCAGAGGGUGGAGGCCUGAUGCAGCCAUAGAGCGAAGGUGAAGAAGGCGUUCGCGUCCCAGAGGACGUUAGGUAAGAAAGAAAAGCAGCAGGUUAGAACCCCGGUGUGCCGGCGGUACCAAAAGAAUAAACACCGGCUAACUUCGUG